rnacentral:lncRNA from 1 species
GCUUUAGAGCAGGCCUGAGCAGCAAGGCUGGGGGCAGCCAUAAAUAACAGGGGGUUGGGAGAGCCAGGGAUGGAGUUUGCAUUCCUUGUCCCCCACUGGCAGGAUCUGGGAUGUGCUCCGUGGCUGCUGGCAGGGGGAGGCGGAGGGAGAAUCCCUUUGCUCUGUAAAAGGCUGGGGUGUUGCUGUCCCCUCUGGUGUUGGAGGAGAGCAGGAGAGAGCAGCAAUUCCUGCAUGGAAGUUCUUCCUGGUGCGUGCUUGGGGUGCAGGAAGAGGGCAGGAGGCAGCAAUUCCUUCAUGGAGUGUGUUUUUCUGGUGCUCACACUAACCAAAGUGUGAGUUGGAGACAUAGAAUUGGUGCUGGCUGCAGGCAGCCUUGGCAGACGCAGCUUUUUCCUGCUCUCGGUGUUCCUGGUGGGAUGUCCCACCCCAGGCACACCAGCAGCUCCCGUGGAAGGUCUGCGUGGCCACAGCAGAGUGUUGGCUUUGGGGACAAAGGAGGGGACAGCUCCAUCCUUCACAGACCCCUCGCUGGGAUCAGAGCUGCUCGGCAGUCACCUUCCCAACGCCCUGGGAAUGCACGGAAGGAAGGGCAGAUCUGGUGGGUUUGGAUAACCAGGUGCUCCCAAACACCCGGGCUGGAGCCCAUCACCCACAGCACAGUGUGACCUGUCCCUGCUUCCUCCACACCUCGGUCCUGCUGCUCGUUCCUCUCAUCCUUUGGGGAUAAGCCUUUGGGGGAACAGGAAAUCUGUGCCACAGAUCUGCUGGCGCCGGCCUGGAGGGCAGGAAGAAGCCCAGCAUUGCUGCUUUCGGGGCACAUCUCCCCCUGCUCGGGCUGUGCGGUUCACUCUGCCCUUGUGAUGAUCCAAGAAAAGCCUCUCGGUGUUUGCCAGCUCUGAUCCACACCCGGUGCUCCCACGGAGGGAGUUCACAGCCUUGGGAUGCAAAUGCCCAGGGAUUCUCUGCAGAAGUCCCUGAUCCAAAUCAGGGACUUUCAGCUGCUGGCAGGGGCUGUGUCACCGCGCAGAGCCAUGGCCAGCAGGUGGGGUGCAGGGGGACAGGCAGGGCUUCCCCGGGCAGUGCCCGCCGCCGGUUCUGCUUUUGGCAGGGCCACGGGGUCAUCCAGAGGUCGGUGUUUGCCUGGCAGGAGCUCACAUCUGCACAGAUGUGCUGUGUGCUCACAGCUGCCUCCAGCCCCACAUCAGCCCAAAACGCUGUCCCUGGCCUGUCAGCGCUGUCCUGCCUGCCCUGGAUGCUGGGGACACUCAAGGCUGAGUCACAUCCUGAGGUGACAAAGUGUCCCCCACCACGCCAGCCAGCAGAGGGUGAGGGGUA